AGAGCGAACGCUGGCGGCAGGCCUAAUACAUGCAAGUCGAACGCACCUUCGGGUGAGUGGCGGACGGGUGAGUAACACGUGGGAACGUGCCCUUUGGUUCGGAAUAAUCCGGGGAAACCUGGCCUAAUACCGAAUGUGCCCCCUCCUUAACCAGGGGGGUGGGAAAGAUUUAUCGCCAUUGGAGCGGCCCGCGUCUGAUUAGCUAGUUGGUGAGGUAAAGGCCCACCAAGGCUACGAUCAGUAGCUGGUCUGAGAGGAUGACCAGCCUCACUGGGACUGAGACACGGCCCAGACUCCUACGGGAGGCAGCAGUGGGGAAUAUUGGACAAUGGGCGCAAGCCUGAUCCAGCCAUGCCGCGUGGGUGAUGAAGGCCCUAGGGUUGUAAAGCCCUUUCGGCGGGGAAGAUAAUGACGGUACCCGCAGAAGAAGCCCGGCUAACUUCGUGCCAGCAGCCAC
rnacentral:rRNA from 1 species